rnacentral:lncRNA from 1 species
UACCGCGCCAACACGUGUCCCUAAACCCACAACGUCACCAUCCCUCUUCCCAAUGGGUCAAGUAGUCUCACUGUCUCAGUCUCUCUCCCCUCCCUCUCUGUGCCACUGCCUCUGUCUCAGUCCCAGUCCCUCUCCACCCACCCGGCGCGAAAUUACCUUCCUGCCCUUCUCCCUAGAGAGCUGUGUGUGAGAAAGAAAGAGAGAGAGAGAGAGAGAGAGACUUUAGAGGAAGAAAGAGAAAUGUGCCACCACAACAAGAACAGUCCACCUCCGAAUCAUCAUCACGUGAAAUUUCAAACCAGGUCGAUUUCUAUGAUGAAGAUGAUCAAGGAGGAGGAGGAAGAAGAAAUCAAGCCGGUAAAGAGAGCUUCACUGAAACCGAAGCGAUCGGCGGCGGCGGCGCGGAAAUCGAGGAGCCGGAGAAGAAAGCCGAAGUACUUGAGCCUCCGCUCGCCGCGGCUCUCCGCCCGAAACGACGUCGUCGCCGCCUCCUCCGCCGAUACGGAUUCCAAGAUGACUGCUACUACUACUACUACUACGGCGGUGACGCGCCGCGGCCACCAGCUUAAUUUGUUUCCGCUGCAUCCGGAGCUGAACGCGGCGGAGGCGGAUCACCAGUCCGACGACAACGUGGCUCUGCUGUUCGAAUCCGACGGCGGAGCCACUCUCCACGGGCUGCUCACCUCCGCCGACACGGCCACCACGACGACGACGUCGACAAUGUCGUCCGAUCACGACCAGGCCGAGUCCAGUUACGGCUACCGCCGCGGAAUGGAACGCGGCGACGAUAUCGUACGGUCGG